GUCGUGAGAUGUUGGGUUAAGUCCCGCAACGAGCGCAACCCUUGUCCCUAGUUGCUACGCAAGGGCACUCUAGGGAGACUGCCGGUGACAAACCGGAGGAAGGUGGGGAUGACGUCAAGUCCUCAUGGCCCUUAUGGGUAGGGCUUCACACGUCAUACAAUGGCCGGUACAGAGGGUUGCCAAAGCGCGAGCUGGAGCCAAUCCCCAUAAAAGCCGGUCGUAGUCCGGAUUGCAGUCUGCAACUCGACUGCAUGAAGUCGGAAUCGCUAGUAAUCGCGGAUCAGCAUGUCGCGGUGAAUACGUUCCCGGGUCUUGUACACACCGCCCGUCACACCAUGGGAGCGGGAUGUACCAGAAGUAGGUAGGCUAACCGCAAGGGGGCCGCUUACCACGGUGCGUUUCGUGACUGGGGUGAAGUCGUAACAAGGUAGCCGUAUCGGAAGGUGCGGCUGGAUCACCUCCUUUCUCGGAGUCAGGGAGCAAGGAUCGGCCAAGGGCUCAGCAAUGAGACCGAAGCCGGUAAUUACCUCCCCAACGUCCAGCACUUCAAGUGCUCACGCUUAUCGGUUGUUCAUCAGGUGUUGACCUGAAUCGGGCCUGUAGCUCAGUUGGUUAGAGCACCGUCUUGAUAAGGCGGGGGUCGAUGGUUCGAAUCCAUCCAGACCCACCACCUCCAAGGUCGCGAAGCCAAGAGCAAUCAAGGGUGGCCUUAAGCGAGGGGGCUGUAGCUCAGCUGGGAGAGCACCUGCUUUGCAAGCAGGGGGUCGUCGGUUCGAUCCCGAUCAGCUCCACCAGUCAGGUAACGGAUAAGUAGAAGGCAGAAGCAAGCGGAAGCGUUUGCUCCUGGCUUUUAGCCGGACCUUCGGGCAGCGAUGUCUGGAGUCGUUCUUUAACAAUACGGAAGAAGUAAAGCGUCUUGCUCGGGAGAGCGGAGCUACGCGCGAGCGUGGAUUCGAAGAACGGGCGAGACUGGGUUAGAUUGUAUCGAGCCUGCUUGCUCUUAGUCGGAGUAAGCGGGAGUGCGCAAACACCUGUAAUGCGAGGCGAGGUAGUGCGUAGCGUUAUGGGGUCAAGCGACUAAGUGCAUGUGGUGGAUGCCUUGGCGAUCACAGGCGAUGAAGGACGUGGCAACCUGCGAAAAGCUCCGGGGAGCUGGUAAACGAGCAUUGAUCCGGAGAUGU
rnacentral:sRNA from 1 species